rnacentral:rRNA from 1 species
UGGCGGACGGGUGAGUAAUGUCUGGGAAACUGCCUGAUGGAGGGGGAUAACUACUGGAAACGGUAGCUAAUACCGCAUAACGUCGCAAGACCAAAGAGGGGGACCUUAGGGCCUCUUGCCAUCGGAUGUGCCCAGAUGGGAUUAGCUAGUAGGUGGGGUAACGGCUCACCUAGGCGACGAUCCCUAGCUGGUCUGAGAGGAUGACCAGCCACACUGGAACUGAGACACGGUCCAA